rnacentral:rRNA from 1 species
CCACCAAAGCGACGAUCAGUAGCCGACCUGAGAGGGUAACCGGCCACAUUGGGACUGAGACACGGCCCAAACUCCUACGGGAGGCAGCAGUGGGGGAUAUUGCACAAUGGGGGAAACCCUGAUGCAGCGACGCCGCGUGAGUGAAGAAGUAUUUCGGUAUGUAAAGCUCUAUCAGCAGGGAAGAAACUGACGGUACCUGACUAAGAAGCCCCGGCUAACUAC